GAUGAACGCUAGCUACAGGCUUAACACAUGCAAGUCGAGGGGAAACGAUAGAGAAAGCUUGCUUUUUCUAGGCGUCGACCGGCGCACGGGUGAGUAACGCGUAUCCAACCUGCCCAUCACUUGGGGAUAACCUUGCGAAAGUAAGACUAAUACCCAAUGACGUCUCUAGAAGACAUCUGAAAGAGAUUAAAGAUUUAUCGGUGAUGGAUGGGGAUGCGUCUGAUUAGCUUGUUGGCGGGGUAACGGCCCACCAAGGCGACGAUCAGUAGGGGGUAUGAGAGGAAGGUCCCCCACAUUGGAACUGAGACACGGUCCAAACUCCUACGGGAGGCAGCAGUGAGGAAUAUUGGUCAAUGGACGAGAGUCUGAACCAGCCAAGUAGCGUGCAGGAUGACGGCCCUAUGGGUUGUAAACUGCUUUUAUAAGGGAAUAAAGUGAGAGUCGUGACUCUUUUUGCAUGUACCUUAUGAAUAAGGACCGGCUAAUUCCGUGCCAGCCGCCGCCGUAA
rnacentral:rRNA from 1 species